GCUGAUCCUCUCAACCGCAAGGAGGCCACACGCAGUACAAUUUCAACAAAUCAAACGCUGCGGUUUCACAGAUUACCCCGUGAUGCUGAAGAAUGUGGAUUUUACAGUAGGGUUACUCAUGUUGUCUUUUAUUUCCGAGCGAUUGAAUACACGGGGGGCCUUUACAAACUUAAAUAUAGGACUGACCCACUCUUUCUGUUGAUGGUGUAAUGUUCUAUGCCGUCGGUUAGGCUCGAAAUGUAUGAAAAACAAUAGGCUUUUGGAAUUCAUUGUAGUCUAGGAUGCCUUCUCACGUUGGCUACAAGCGACUCUGAUCAACAAACACAGUCCUGUAUGCUUUUAAGGCAGGCAGCAUAGUCUGUCUGUUAAGGGGAAAUGUGUCACGGCCGUUGAAAGAAGAGGACCAAGGCGCAGCGUGAAAGAGAUGCUAUAAUUGGAGUGGACCAGGAAC